rnacentral:rRNA from 1 species
UCUGGUUGAUCCUGCCAGUAGUUAUAUGCUUGUCUCAAAGAUUAAGCCAUGCAUGUCUAAGUACACACGCAUUAAAAGUGAAACCGCAAAAGGCUCAUUAUAUCAGUUAUGGUUCCUUAGAUCGUUAACAGUUACUUGGAUAACUGUGGUAAUUCUAGAGCUAAUACAUGCAAUUAAAACAUGAACCUUAUGGGACAUGUGCUUUUAUUAGGCUAAAACCAAGCGAUCGCAAGAUCGUUAUAUUGGUUGAACUCUAGAUAACAUGCAGAUCGUAUGGUCUUGUACCGACGACAGAUCUUUCAAUGUCUGCCCUAUCAACUUUUGAUGGUAGUAUCUAGGACUACCAUGGUUGCAACGGGUAACGGGGAAUCAGGGUUCGAUUCCGGAGAGGGAGCCUGAGAAACGGCUACCACAUCUAAGGAAGGCAGCAGGCGCGUAAAUUACCCACUCCCAGCUCGGGGAGGUAGUGACGAAAAUAACAAUACAGGACUCAUAUCCGAGGCCCUGUAAUUGGAAUGAGUACACUUUAAAUCCUUUAACAAGGACCAAUUGGAGGGCAAGUCUGGUGCCAGCAGCCGCGGUAAUUCCAGCUCCAAUAGCGUAUAUUAAAGUUGUUGCGGUUAAAACGUUCGUAGUUGAACUUGUGCUUCAUACGGGUAGUACAACAUACAAUUGUAGUUAGUACUAUACCUUUAUGUAUGUAAGCGUAUUACCGGUGGAGUUCUUAUAUAUGUUUAAAUACUUGUAUUUUUUCAUAUGUUCCUCCUAUUUAAAAACCUGCAUUAGUGCUCUUAAACGAGUGUUAUUGUGGGCCGUACAAUUACUUUGAACAAAUUAGAGUGCUUAAAGCAGGCUUCAAAUGCCUGAAUAUUCUGUGCAUGGGAUAAUGAAAUAAGACCUCUGUUCUGCUUUCAUUGGUUUUUCAGAUCAAGAGGUAAUGAUUAAUAGAAGCAGUUUGGGGGCAUUAGUAUUACGACGCGAGAGGUGAAAUUCUUGGACCGUCGUAA